rnacentral:rRNA from 1 species
AGAGUUUGAUCCUGGCUCAGAGCGAACGCUGGCGGCGUGCUUAACACAUGCAAGUCGAGUGCGCGUCUGUAGCAAUACAGAUGGCGCACGGCGCACGGGUGCGUAACACGUGGGUAAUCUGCCCUUCGAUGGGGAAUAACUCCGGGAAACCGAAGCUAAUUCCGCAUAACAUUCCUUGAACCUCGGUUUGGGGACUCAAAGCCGUAAGGCGUCGGAGGAGGAACCCGCGCACGAUUAGCUAGUUGGUAGGGUAACGGCCUACCAAGGCUUUGAUCGUUAGCUGGUCUGAGAGGAUGGCCAGCCACACUGGAACUGAGACACGGUCCAGACUCCUACGGGAGGCAGCAGUGGGGAAUCUUGCACAAUGGGCGAAAGCCUGAUGCAGCGACGCCGCGUGGGGGAUGAAGCUUUUCGGAGUGUAAACCCCUUUCGACCCGGACGAAUGUCCCGCAAGGGAACUGACGGUACGGGUAUAAGAAGCCCCGGCUAACUACGUGCCAGCAGCCGCGGUAAGACGUGGGGGGCCAGCGUUGCUCGGAAUUACUGGGUGUNAAAGGGUUCGU